rnacentral:rRNA from 1 species
UACGUAGGGGGCGAGCGUUGUCCGGAUUUAUUGGGCGUAAAGAGCGUGUAGGCGGCCAGGUAGGUCUGCUGUGAAAACUCGAGGCUCAACCUCGAGACGUCGGCGGAAACCAUCUGGCUAGAGUCCGGAAGAGGAGAGUGGAAUUCCUGGUGUAGCGGUGAAAUGCGCAGAUAUCAGGAAGAACACCGGUGGCGAAAGCGCUCUGCUAGGCCGCAACUGACACUGAGGGACGAAAGCUAGGGGAGCGAAUGGG